rnacentral:ncRNA from 2 species
UAGUUAUUAAGAAAGGUGGAGGGAAUAGACCCUGUGAAACCUUAGCAACCCUUUAUUUAUAAAGAAGGUGCUAAAUUCUAACCCGAUUGUUCGGGAAAAGAUAACUC